GAUGAACGCUAGCGGCAGGCCUAAUACAUGCAAGACGAACGGUAACUUUGAUAGCAAUAUUGAAGCUAGAGUGUCGUAAGGGUGCGUAACACGUAUGCAACCUGCCCAUAACUGGGGAAUAACCCGUCGAAAGGCGGACUAAUACCGCAUAACAAUGAUUGUCUGCAUGGACGAUUAUUUAAAGAUUUAUCGGUUAUGGAUGGGCAUGCGUUCCAUUAGAUAGUUGGUAGGGUAACGGCCUACCAAGUCUACGAUGGAUAGGGGUUCUGAGAGGAAGGUCCCCCACACUGGUACUGAGACACGGACCAGACUCCUACGGGAGGCAGCAGUGAGGAAUAUUGGUCAAUGGUCGAGAGACUGAACCAGCCAAAUCGCGUGAAGGAUGAAGGUAUUAUGUAUUGUAAACUUCUUUUGUCAGGGAAUAAAGUGCAUCACGUGUGAUGUUUUGUAUGUACCUGAAGAAUAAGGAUCGGCUAACUCCGUGCCAGCAGCCG
rnacentral:rRNA from 1 species